GACGAACGCUGGCGGCGUGCUUAACACAUGCAAGUCGAACGGUGAAGCGCCUUCCUUUUUGGUGGGUGUGGAUGAGUGGCGAACGGGUGAGUAACACGUGAGUAACCUGCCCCCUUCUUCUGGAUAACCGCAUGAAAGUGUGGCUAAUACGGGAUAUUCUGGGUCUGUCGCAUGAUGGGUCUGGGAAAGAUAUUGUUUCGGUGGGGGAUGGGCUCGCGGCCUAUCAGCUUGUUGGUGGGGUGAUGGCCUACCAAGGCGGUGACGGGUAGCCGGCCUGAGAGGGUGGACGGCCACACUGGUGAGGAACCACCGCCCAGACUCCGACGGGAGGCAGCAGUGGGGAAUAUGGCACAAUGGGCGCAAGCCUGAUGCAGCGCCGCCGCGUGAGGGAUGGAGGCCUUCGGGUUGUGAACCUCUUUCGCCAGUGAAGCAGGCCUGCCUCGUUUGUGGGUGGGUUGACGGUAGCUGGAGAAGAAGCGCCGGCUAACUACGUG
rnacentral:rRNA from 1 species